rnacentral:rRNA from 1 species
AUUGAACGCUAGCGGGAUGCCUUACACAUGCAAGUCGAACGGAGUGGCGAACGGGUGAGUAAUGUAUCGGAACGUGCCCAGUAGCGGGGGAUAACUACGCGAAAGCGUAGCUAAUACCGCACACAUUUGGAGCGGCCGAUAUAGGAUUAGCUAGUUGGUGGGGUAACGGCCCACCGAGGCGACGAGCCAUAGCUGGUUUGAGAGGACGACCAGCCACACUGGACCUGAGACACGGCCCAGACUCCUACGGGAGGCAGCAGUGGGGAAUUUUGGACAAUGGGGGAAACCCUGAUCCAGCCAGCCCGCGUGUGCGAUGAAGGCCUUCGGGUUGUAAAGCACUUUUGGCAGGAAAGCGGUACCUGCAGAAUAAGCACCGGCUAACUACGUGCCAGCAGCCGCGGUAAUAC